GUGGCCAUAUUUGACUCACAAUGAGCUGGAUUUGGACCAAAGGUAUGUAGUUUGCUUACCAAGUUCUAAGGCCUUACUGAUUUCCAUCAACUUGUUCUAUCCAUUAUUGAGAGACGAGUGUUAUAGUCAGCAACUAUAAUUAGCCGUCUGUUCUCAGGCCAAGCUCGCUUCCUACUCUGCCAUAAGGUGAGCCACCUCUACCUGCCUGGAGAUCGACCUGCGGUCAUCCAGUUCCACCAGUGCCUGGCUGGAGCUAUAAGUUGGUGCUGUUUGCCAGGGUUGGUGUCUACAGAGGGCCAGGGGAAUUCCAAGCGAGGGAAGCAAGGAGAACUUCUUGGACUCCUCAAGGGCUACCCUCCACCCAGCCACUGUCUAAAGAGCUUCAUUUAAAGUUGGAUAAAGGCAGUUUCCGACUACAGGAGACCUGCAGACUUACCAUGUGUUCCUUGGAGCACCCUGGCUUAGUCAGGAUCUUUCUGAAUGCUCCCUUUGGGUGCACCUCUUGUUGAUACAAGCAAAAACUAGCAUAGGGACCCUGGAGCAGGAAGUGAAUAGGUAUUGUUGAAACCAUCCCAAUA
rnacentral:lncRNA from 1 species